ACAGGGUCUUGCUCUGUUGCCCAGGCUGGAGUGCAGUGGCGCCAUCACAGCUGCUGCAACCUCAACCUCCCAAGCUCAAGUGAAUCUCCCACCUCAGCCUCCCAAGUAGCUGGGACUACAGCAAGGUUUCCAAGAAUUACGUUGGUAGGCAUUCAACUGGCAUCCUCUGGAGGUAACCAGAUGCCCAGCUGCUCCUGGAGGGGACAUAUGGAAGUGGAGUCGGUUGCCUGUGGCACAUCUUUCAGUGUGCAUUUUGGGAUUUGUGAAUGUGCUUAACCAGAAAAUGCCAGAAUACAGUCAAUCCACCAACCUGUCAGUGGUGCUCUUCUUGUGGGAUCAUGUGCAAAGUUUGAACAGGUGAGUUUUUACAUAUUCAUGCAACAAGAAAAUAGGCUGCCAGAUUAAAUACAUAGUCCUGCUUUGUUUACUUUUUCCACAUCAAAAAUAUUAGGCUGAAGAUACAUAAACAUAGUCAAAACUUCCUGGGUUCCGUUCUUCCAAAGCCAUAUUAUGAUAGUAUAAAGAUGUGCAGUGGUGGAUAGGCAAGGAUUUGUGCAAAUCAUGUGGUAUUGCUUUUACAAUGCAAAGGGCCUGUCCCAAAGGAAGGAGAUUUGCACGGCCUAAUGCUCACCUGUGAACACAAAGUCCACUCUGAAAGCAACACUUAGCACAUUUAAUCUCUUUUUGCCUAGUGCUUUUUUAUAGAAAUUGAAUAUAAUAGCACCCUGAAUAAACAGAAUUCUUGCAUGUUCUAUGGCAGAAACGAACUGACAGGCUACAUCAUAUAAUUUGCAUACAAGCAUAAAUAUACCUCAUAGCUUUUUGGCAGAGACGUACCCUGCUUUUAGGAACAUACAUGUUUUACUAAGGCUUCCUAAUGGGAUUACUAACUAAAACUGACCAACUCUUUCAGGAGUAGGAGUAUACAUUUUCUGCACUGUAUAAAACGAUGAACUUCCACUUUUCUGUUGUAACCAGUAAUGUUCAUCAACUUGAUGAGAUUAUCAGGUGAUUUUUUCAUCAGUGAUUAAAAUAUUCUUGACAUAAAACUCUAGGUAUGUCUGUGUUACAGAGAGGGAGAGCGGGAGAGCUAGAGAGGAAAGCAAGACUCAUUUCUCAGCCUUCUCCCCUGGGUGCCUCGGACACAGCAUCAUUAAUGAGCUGGGCUUAAUACAGCUAUUAGUUCAUAUUGCUUCACUUAGUCAUAUAGCUUUCUGUACGUAAAGAAAUGAGGAAAAUCAAAAUAGUAAACUCCGCUAGCGUGGUGAUAAUAUCUUACUAGCUUGAAUGGUCUACAUGGUAUAUGGCACAGUACUAGUUAUAGUAAAUGUUCAAAAUUACUUCUUGCUGACAAACUGAUAGAGGCUGGAGGCCCUUUCUUUCCUGUGCUUAGUGACAGUAUACUUAGGAUUUCUUUUCUAAAAUUUUGGAGUGACUCAAAAAAAUCAACAAAAAGCCAAAUUUUAGUUUUAAAUAGUGUCAGUAUAUACGAUUGUAGCUAUUAGUCCAAUAGUCACACAUUUGUUUCCUCAGUCUUAAAAGUAAUAGCAGCAUCCUCCUUUUCAAUUGUUAAGCCCUGUUUGUUCUACAGUAAGGGAAAACUGAUAGAAGAUGACAACAGAAAAAAAAAAAGCUAAAUUAGAUGCCGUGACCGUAAAUUUUGUUUGUUCUUGAAAACAAGAAAUGUGAAGCUAGCCAAAACACCAACAUCAUGUUAGAGUUUUAUACAUGCAUACAUACACACACACAGACAUACACACAUGUAUGUAAG